UACGUAGGGUGCAGGCGUUUAAUCGGAAUUACUGGGCGUAAAGCGUGCGCAGGCGGCUUCCUAAGUCAGAUGUGAAAUCCCCGGGCUCAACCUGGGAACUGCGUUUGAAACUGGGAGGCUGGAGUGCGGCAGAGGGGGGUGGAAUUCCACGUGUAGCAGUGAAAUGCGUAGAUAUGUGGAGGAACACCGAUGGCGAAGGCAGCCCCCUGGGCCAAGACUGACGCUCAUGCACGAAAGCGUGGGGAGCAAACAGG
rnacentral:rRNA from 1 species